rnacentral:rRNA from 1 species
CCUACGGGAGGCAGCAGUGAGGAAUAUUGGUCAAUGGCCGGGAGGCUGAACCAGCCAAGUCGCGUGAGGGAAGACGGCCCUACGGGUUGUAAACCUCUUUUGUCAGGGAGCAAGGUGCAGGUCGGGACCUGCUGUGAGAGUACCUGAAGAAAAAGCAUCGGCAAACUCCGGGCCAGCAGCCGCGGUAAUACGGAGGAUGCGAGCGUUAUCCGGAUUUAUGGGGUUUAAGGGGUGGGCAGGCGGAGGCACAAGUCAGCGGGAAAAUCGCGGGGCUCAACCCCGCUCCGCCGUUGAAACUGUGUGCCUUGAGUGGGCGAAGGGUAGGCGGAAUGCGUGGUGUAGCGGUGAAAUGCAUAGAUAUCACGCAGAACACCGAUCGCGAAGGCAGCCGACCGGCGCGCAACUGACGCUGAGGCACGAAAGCGUGGGUAUCGAACAGGAUUAGAUACCCUGGUAGUC